rnacentral:lncRNA from 1 species
CUUCUGACGUGGACCGUAGAACGAGCUGAAACCCGGCUGCGCUGUCCCGGCCGGCGAAAGCUCUAGUUUUCCCCCUUCGCCUUUCGUCCCCGGCGGCGGGGUUGCAGCCCCACUGGAUGCCUAGGAGCCGACUGCGUUGAGUGUUGCCCUCCUAGAGACCCGGCACUCUGCCCUAACUCCAGCUGCCGGACGGAAAGGGUACAGGAGGCUGCAUCGCAGCGAGGUGCUGGGUGCGGUACUGUAGAAGCCAGGCUUCAUUCGAGCCUCUGUAACACAAGAGUCAAGAAAGAACACAUGUAGAACCUGGCAUAGGCCGGGCGCGGAGGCUUACGCCUGUAAUCCCAGCACUUUGGGAAACUGAGGCAGGCGGAUCACUUGAUCUCUGGGAUCCGAGACCAGCCUGGCCAACAGGGUGAGACACUGUCUCUACUAAAAAUACAAAAAUUAGCCGAGCAUGGUGGUGCGCGCCUGUAUCCCCAGCUACUCCAGAGGCUGAGGCAGGAGGAUCGCUUGAGUCUGGAGAGGUCAAGGCUGCAGUGAGCCGCAGUCGCAGCACUGCACUCCAGCCUGGGCAACACAAGACCCUGUGUCAAAAAAUGAAGAACCUGGCAUGUAGGCUGUGCUCAGUAAAUGCCUAAUAAACUGAAUGAAGACACACAGCCAGGCCUCUUGAUAACAGAUGGACUGUAGCUGACCAGACCCCCUACCUUUAAUUCUGUAAAAGUUUGGAGUUACCUUGCUCCCCACAAUUUGCCCUCCAACCAUCUUCUCUGAAGAGUGGGCAAUAUAGAAUUAGGAAAUGGCGCUCACACAGACCUGCCCCUUCUUGUCUGGUAGUUGUUACUCUGGUGUCCCUCAAUGAGACAUGUCUUCCAUCAAUGUAGCCUUUUAUGGUCCUUGACCCUGGAAUCUGGGCUGGGUCAUGAUUGAGACCAUGAGAAACCAUGACUCAAUUUCACCAAUAGAAGAAGUUGGUAGGAGUAGCAAUGUCUUGUUUCUAGCUCUGAGCUUAAAAAAGACCUGGCAGCCUUGGCCGGGCACGGUGGCUCACGUCUGUAAUCCCAGCACCUUGGGAGGCCGAGGCGGGCAGAUCACGAGGUCAGAAGUUCGAGACCACCCUGAUCGACGUGGUGAAACCCUGUCUCUACAAAAAAUACAAAAAUUAGCCGGGCGUGGUGGCACACACCUGUAAUCCCAGCUACUCAGGAGAGUCGCUUGAAUCCAGGAGGCAGAGGUUGCAGAGAGUCGUGAUCGCGCCACUGCACUCCAGCCUGGGGGACAGAGCGAGACUCUGU